UACAGAGGGUGCAAGCGUUAAUCGGAUUUACUGGGCGUAAAGCGUGUGUAGGUGGUUGGAAAAGUCAAUUGUGAAAGCCCAGGGCUUAACUCUGGAACUGCUUUUGAUACUGUCUGACUAGAAUUCGGUAGAGGGAGGCGGAACUCCAGGUGUAGCGGUGAAAUGCGUAGAUAUCUGGAAGAACACCAAUGGCGAAGGCAACCUCCUGGGCCUGAAUUGACACUGAGACACGAAAGCGUGGGGAUCAAACAGGAUUAGAUACCCUGGUAGUCCACGCCGUAAACGAUGACAACUUGACGUCGGUUUGCUCUGCGAAUCGGUGUCGUAGCUAACGCGAUAAGUUGUCCGCCUGGGGAGUACGGCCGCAAGGUUGAAACUCAAAG
rnacentral:rRNA from 1 species